UCAAGUUAUAUUUUUCAGAGAAAAUAGUUGAAGUAACUCAGGAUUAUUUUAUUCGGAAUUGUAGCUCUCUAGUCAGAUACCAAGAAUGAUUGUAUGUCUUUAUGAUGUCUCUUUCUCUCUUCUGCUUUUCCAUGGUGUCUUUUCAGAUAGGAGCUUUCAUUCUAUAACAGUUCUCUGUUGUAGCCUGCUUGUUAGUGGAUGCCUCAUGUCCUAAGCUUCAGCAUAUGCAGGACUGAUCAUUUUAAGACACUAAUGUUUUUUCUUUAAAAAUUAUCAUCAUUAUUAUUACUGUUAUUAUUAUCAAUGUGGCCAGCUUCUCCUCUUCCAGAGUAUUUCCGGUAGAAUCUGUGGGAAUAUAUUUUUUUUAUUUAAAAAAAAAAAGAAGUGAUCUCAGAAACCCUGUUCUUUUCCACUGAUGAAAUCAAUCUCACUGUUCUUUUCUUUCUCCAGUUGCGAAGCCAGCUGCUGAAGUAUACCACCCCUGUAGCAUGAGGCAGCCAGAGAAGCAGUGCAGCAAAACCUCACAUGACUGGCAUCCCUGGGUGUCCUGGUAGUAUUUCAGGAAAUAAUUUAAAAACCAAAACCAAUCUAACAAACAAAGAAGCCUGAAGUUAUGACUGAAAGUGGUGGGCAGAUUCCUAGAUGUUGCUCUUUUCCAUCUGGUGAUGAAGUGACAUCUCCUGCAGAUGAGGGGAAUAGAUGUUCAUAGUGACCCACAUAGUAUUAAAUGCUACGACAUUAUUUCUUGUGGUCAUGGAGGACGAAGCUUAGUGACUCACUUGGCCUUUUGCGGGUCCAUCUUCCCAGAGCAGAGCAAUUGGUGCUGAGCAGCAUGGAAAACAGCUACUGGAAGACAGAGCCCUUUGAGGUUUAAGGAUGUGACAAGUAGGAACAACACAGUAAGUGUUAUUUGUGCAUAUACACCUCAACAGCUUUCAGCCUCAGAAACAUUAUCACCAUUGUUAAGUACUUGUGGAUACUUUUAUUUAGUUCUGAUGGAAUCAGACCACAGCUACUCCUGUUAUUACUUGCAGCUAUUGCCAGUGAACAACUGUAUCAAG
rnacentral:lncRNA from 1 species